rnacentral:rRNA from 1 species
GACCUCUGACCUCAAAUCAGGUAGGACUACCCGCUGAACUUAAGCAU